UACAAACUUACUGCAGCAUUUGUUGUCUUAUCACUAUGGUCACGGUGUCCAACUUGUUAGGCUACAAUGUAGGCCCUAUAUCUUCUGAUCUUCAUUUUUAUGUGGAACCUUCCAAUGGCGUCCCGAAACCUCAGCGGGCGUCCCGAUAAUCGACAUAUCACAAACGCAUUUUAACGGGGAGGAAAACGGCCGAGGACACAAACUAUCGACUCACGCUUUUUCACGCGUAUUUUUGGAUGCAUUGCCGCUAGGCAUUCAAGGCCACCAACGUUGAAAUUCAGUUCCGUUGAUGCCGCCAGUUGUAAUGCAAUUUAGUAUGCAGAUGAGUCAAGUGAUGGACUACUCACGCAGCAUCAUAUAAUGAAUUCAAAACCAUAAUAAACAUAUUCUUCAUAUAUUUCACAUUAACUUUCCUUUGAAGUUUUAAUGUGUGACACGUUCAGAUUAAAUUUUCAGUUGAUUGAUCGUGAUUCACGUUUGAUUUUAGAUUGGGCUGUUAUUUCGCCCACUUGCAGAGAAAGUACGGCAAAGCCAUCUGUUUACGACAUCUGGAACUUGUGGUCGAAAACGAAAGCGAGAGCUGCUCGAUUUCCUUUACAGUCUAUUUCGUUUGAUAACUUUAUUAUGUAACAUGUGCGUAUGCAAAUCUAAUCAUUGCAUGGCAUCCAGUUAUAUUCGGGUAACAGUUAUUCAGGAAUAGUUCCGAUCAAACAGGUCUAUAUUCAAAGGGUUCGAUGAAUGAUUACAUAAAAAUACCUGUAUUCCGCAAAUCAAACCAAAAUACAAGAUUUGUCUUCUAGGAC